GGGCCCGCACAAGCGGUGGAGCAUGUGGUUUAAUUCGAUGAUACGCGAGGAACCUUACCAGGGCUUAAAUGUAGUCUGACAGGGGUGGAAACACCCCCUCCUUCGGGCAGAUUACAAGGUGCUGCAUGGUUGUCGUCAGCUCGUGCCGUGAGGUGUCAGGUUAAGUCCUAUAACGAGCGCAACCCCUGCCGUUAGUUGCCAGCAUGUAAUGAUGGGAACUCUAACGGGACUGCCGGUGCAAACCGCGAGGAAGGUGGGGAUGACGUCAAAUCAUCACGGCCCUUACGUCCUGGGCUACACACGUGCUACAAUGGCCGGUACAGAGGGCAGCCACACCGCAAGGUGGAGCGAAUCCUUAAAACCGGUCUCAGUUCGGAUCGGGGUCUGCAACUCGGCCCCGUGAAGCUGGAAUCGCUAG
rnacentral:rRNA from 1 species